CCUACGGGAGGCAGCAGUGGGGAAUAUUGGGCAAUGGGCGAAAGCCUGACCCAGCAACGCCGCGUGAAGGAAGAAGGCUUUCGGGUUGUAAACUUCUUUUGACAGUGAAGAGCAGCAGCCGGUACCUGUCUCAUCAUCCCCGUCUCACUACUUGCCGGCAGCCGCGGUAAUACGUAGGUGGCAAGCGUUGUCCGGAUUUACUGGGUGUAACGGACGUGUAGCCGGCGAUGCAAGUCUGAAGUGAAAGGCGGGGGCUCAACCUGCGGACUGCUUUGGAAACUGGAUGGCUGGAGUGAAGGAGAGGUAAGUGGAAUUCCGAGUGUAGCGGUGAAAUGCGUAGAUAUUAGGAGGAACACCAGUGGCGAAGGCGGCUUACUGGACUGUAACUGACGUUGAGGCUCGAAAGCGUGGGGAGCAAACAGGAUUAGAUACCCCUGUAGUC
rnacentral:rRNA from 1 species